AGAGACAGAGACACAGAGAGAGACAGAGACACAGAGACAGAGAGGCAGAGACAGAGGCAGACGCAUGGCGCAUGCGCACACUCUUCCCUGUCCCUUCAGGAAUGGCUCCACACCAGGCAGCUGAGGCAUGGAUCAGUCUCUUAGCCCAGCAAGUGCAAUAAGCUGUUUGCAUCUUCUGACCUCCAGCAGAGACUGCCCCUGUCUUCUCUGGGCCUCAUGGGUCCUGCUGAGCUCAAGAGGAAAUGUGACCGAAGCUCACUUGGAUGAGGGCUGGCUGCUGGACCAGGCUGUGGGGCAUGGGGCAAACGCCUACGUGGUGCGCCCAGGGAGCUCUGAGCCUCUGCCCUCCAUGACUACGUGAGUCUGAGCAGAGGCGCCCCUGCCAUUGCCAAGCAGUGGGGUCUUAGUGUUGUUGGGAGGUCUGCACACGCUGCCACCUCAGUGACCUGUGCUAAUGCUGACUUUGAAGCCAUGUGCUUCCUGCAGAGAACAUCACCCUUCCAGAUUGACCGGAGUUAUUAGAAGGGACGCUGGGACCUUGGGAUGUCACAGUGUUUGCUACUGCUCUGGGGACAAGAAGGCUAUAUUCAGGAACCACGUGGGCUUUGCGGAACCAUGUGAUCAGCCCACUACAGCUGACACAUGGAUGGAGUAAUUCGUGACACGGUGCUCACCAGACCCGCUUUCCCAGCAGCUAUGGGGAGGAUGGCUGCAUUUGGUUCCUACCUGUCCUUCUCUGUGCAGAAGCGCCCCUCCCCCUCCCCCUCCUCACUGGGACUUCUUCAGAGAGCAAUCCCUCAGGGAAUCCCCUUCUCAAGAGACUCUGCUGAGGGCCUGGGAAUGUAGCUCUGGUGCUGAGUGUUGACCCAGUACGAAUGCAGUCUUAGGCCCUUCUGUGGCACCAUAUAAAACAGGCGUGGUGUCUGCCUAUCAUCCGGGAGCUGGAGGCAGAGAGAGAGAGAGAGAGAGAGAGAGAGAGAGAGAGAAUCAGAUGGUCAAGGUCAAGCUGAGUUGGAGGCCAUCCUGGGCUUCAAGAGACCUGUGCUAAGAUACAAAAAUCAACGAUUUUCACUUCAGAAAUAGACUUAAAGCAUCCACAGAGAUGAGGUCUGGGCUCUGGGGUUUGAGCCGUCCCUGGUGGCCCACACUGCUCUUGUGGAAAAACAGGGGAGUGUCUCCUUAGAAAGUUUUCAGGACGUCAGGGGAUCUACCAGAGCCCACUUUCAACCAACUCUUCUUUCUCCACAAGUCUCUGGAAACCUGCCUGCUCCAGAUCACAAAAAAAAAAAAAAAAAAAAAAACAACCAAACAAACAAAACAAAGCCCGAGGCUGAGACUUAGCUGUCAGGCUGGAGCUGAGCGUCUUAACUCCAUUUUCUGUUCACUCUAACAAAAUACCUAUAGUUGGAAGAUUUAGAAACAACUUGGGGCUGCAGAGACGGCUCAGCCAGUAAAGGCGAGGCUCACAAGCAGAGAUCUAACAAACAGAAGUUUAUUCUGGCGGCUAACUGUGCUUCUGUGUAAGGCUGAAUGCUGCUUUGCGCAUGGGGAAGGAGAGGUGAGCGGCUCCAGAAGAGGUCACGUGGCUGCAGUCACGUGGCCGCAGUCCCUGGAGGAAACUGAGGGAGGCAAGCUUCCUCCAUACCAUCGCCAGCUCUCAGGAUAACCAGUCCACUUUCAAGGGAAUGACACAAAUCCCUUCAUCAAAGUAGAAUCUCUGUGGCCUAAUUGCCUCUUAAAGGUCCCCACCGACUCUCAUCAUGGUUGCAUUAGGAACCAGGUCUCCUACACAUGCGAUUUGAGAAAGCAACCCUGUUCAAACUGCAGCAGUGAGCCUUUUAUCUGCUUUCCCCAGGGCUGGAUGCUACCUCAUGCUGGUUCUGGUGUGGCGCCUUAUCUACGGGGACUUCCGAAAAGGGAUGGACGGAUGCUCUGGCGUUUCUGUCCCUGUCCUUGCUCCUCAUGCAUCAUGGAAAACAGACAUCAACCAGACAGGACCUGAUUCUGUCCCAGCCCCAGGCACUGUGCUUCUCUGAGCACUGGGUCGCUCUGGCCUUCUGGCAAUUGCUCUGACCUGCUUGUAAGUUGGCACUGAGUGACCGUGUUGUGCUUCAGUUUCCGCCUCGGUAAUUGUAUCUUCCCUCUGAUGAUGUUGAAAAUGGAUGCUUUCAUACACAAGAGAAGCAGAGGUUCACUGUGCUGACUGUCAGCAAGCACGUCCUACUGGGAGAGCAGCGGUCUACAGGGUUCUAGAAGAGCCAUUGACCCUGCAGGAGAGGAGUUAGAGAAGAUAGCACAAGCCAGUGGGGAUGAGUGGGCAAGAGUUUGUGGAACAGCUUUGUCUGCAGAGCUUGGAGGCAGGCGUUCAGGUCUGAAUGGCCUCAGAGUCCGCCGUAAACUUUCUCACAAACGGACUUUUCAGGCCAAACCCAGGGUUGGCAAGGCAGUUAUAACCGGAAACUGUGACCACUUGAGUCUACGAAGCUCAUUGUAAGUCUGAGUUGGCCCAACUCCACCCUAGGACUGUACUGUAACCUUGGAGAUGAAGUCCUAAAUACCCCACGUGCGUGCCAGGAGCAAUCCAGGUCACGGCCGCAAAGCAGGCAAGCAAAGAGCUCCGUGCCCAACGUAAGAGAGAUGCUGGGAAGUCAACUGAAAAUCCUGGGGCCACGGCCUCCAUUUUAGGAUUUUUAAAUCAACAGGCACGUCUUCUGGACAGGAAGCCACGCAAGGCUUCCUGGAGAAAGUACAAGAAAUACGUGGAAGCACAGAUGUUGGCAAUGUGGGGCUGUAAUAACUGCUAAGAGGCCACUGGCCACAUGGUGAUUUAAAUCUGAUUUUUAGUCCAUUAGUAGGAGUUGGGUGAAGCUCAGUAGAGAACAUUGUCUAUCAGUGGGAGGCCCUGUGUUCAAUCUCUCUCUGUAGCUCGGUGCUGAUGGUGGUGAUGCUGGUGAUGAUGGUAAUGGUAAUGACAAAACCUUGGCUAAGCCUGGGGCUAUGCAGUGGUAGCACUUGCCUAGCAUGCAUUAGGACUUAGGUUCAAACCCAGAAAAAAAAGUUGGGGCUAUGGAUAGAGCUUAGCUGGUAGACUGCCUGCCUAGCAUGCUCAGCGCCCUGGGUCUCAGCCCCAGCGCCACACACACUGGCUGUGCAGUAAUCCUGUCACUGCGGGGUAGGGAUCGGGGGUCAGAGGUUAUCCUCAGAUACAUCCUCACCCUGGAAUACUCAGAAACCCCCGUCUCCAAAACAAACAACUAAGAUAAGAAUACAACUUAGUUUUCUGGCAGAUUCCCCUAGAUGCAUCGGAGGGCUCUGAGCCACACAGCCAUCUUGGAAGGUGCCAACAGCUCCACUGGAUCAUUGAGAAUACACCCCACACCGAAGCUCACUAUCGUGGUUACCAUGCUACCUGGCUCAUCUUCUGAUCCUCAGGAUGGAGAUGCUACCCAUAGAGUCAUGACCUCAGGCCUUGGGUCCCUUCUCCGGUCCCAGCCACAUGCUCCCUGCGACUGUGGCUUCUGUUUGCUUUACAGUACGACUUAACCUAUGGCAUCUGCUACCACCAACAUCUCCUGGGUCAUCAGUGCUGCCUGCCAUCUCCCUUUCUCUGUCCCCUGAGAGGACCAUGAAAAACUAAAAGAACCCAAGGACAGGCCAGAGAAACACACCAUCUUCUGGAGGCGAAAGAAUAUUCUGGCAACAUAAAAGACCCACGGCCAGGGGUGAGCUUAGCCUCAGACAUCACCUCUGACUAUCUAUCUAUCUAUCUAUCUAUCUAUCUAUCUAUCUAUCAUCUAUCUAUAUCUAUCUAUCUAUCUAUCUAUCUAUCUAUCUAUCAUCUGUCAUCUAUCUAUCCAUCCGUCUGUCCGUCUAUCUAUCUAUCUAUCUAUCUAUCAUCUGUCUGUCUGUCUGUCUGUCCGUCCAUCCAUCCAUCCAUCCAUCUAUCCAUCCACCCAUCCAUCCGUCUGUCUGUCUGUCUGUCUGUCUAUCUAUCUAUUUGUCUGUCUGUCUAUCCGUCCAUCUAUCUAUCUGUCUGUCUGUCUGUCUGUCUGUCUGUCCGUCCAUCCGUCUGUCCGUCCAUCUGUCUGUCUGUCUGUCUGCCUGUCUAUCUAUCCAUCCAUCUGUCCAUCUAUCUAUCUAUCUAUCUAUCUAUCUAUCCAUCCAUCCAUCUAUCCAUCCGUCUAUCUGUCUGUCUGUCUGUCUGUCUGUCUGUCUAUCUAUCCGUCCAUCUGUCUAUCAUCUAUCUAUCUAUCUAUCUAUCUAUCAUCUAUCUGUCUAUCAUCUAUCUAUCUAUCUAUCUAUCCACCUGUCCAUCUAUCCAUCUCUCUCUAUCUGUCUGUCUAUCUAUCUAUCUAUCUAUCUAUCCAUCUGUCUCUCUAAAGCUUGAGGACAGUUUUCCUAAGUUUCAAAGAAACAACCAGAGGGUGGGCUGAAUCUCAGCUGCUGUUUGGAGGAGGAAGAGAGCAAAUCAUGUCAGCAGCCACAUCACAGAAGCUGGGGUGUGGGGCAGGAGCAGGUGGGGUUGGGGAGUCACUCUGUAGAAAAAGAGGGAGAAAGCCCAGAGUGUCCAGAACAGCACAAGUAUCUGAAAGAAGGAAAAAGAUAUAAAGAAGAAAAAGAAGAACUUGGACUUUUCUAAGGGAGAGGAGCAUGAGCAGGCCGUGACUCCUGGAACAGUCGCCUUGCCUAACUUCAGAGAAUAAGCCGGACGCACAGUCAGAUAUCACACUGUCCCGCUCUUGUGUGAAGGUGAAACUGUCCAUAUCAGACACACUGGGAACAGGGGGGCUGCUAUCAGAGCGUAAGGAGCUUAGGAGGGCUGGGAAAGGUGGUUAUAGUGACAGCAAGCUCCAAGCUGUCUCGACUGGCUAGGAGAAAGGAUUUCCCAUGUCUGUACCAUGGAGAUGCCACGUUGGAGGAGAAAGACAUCUCUAGCCCAUUUUAAAUAUUGCACUGUGUGUAUAUGUAUCGAGACAUCUCAAAGUACCUCAUUCCCGUGAUGACAGCUGUUUCUCCUACUCUAUCAGCUAAAAGCAGGUUUGAGCCCGUGUUACUCUGCCUCAGGCUUCCCUAGAACUUGUCAUCCCCCUGCCUUAGCUUCCGAAGCGCUGUGACAUAACAGGUACCACCUCACCUGCCCUGGAGUGUUAUUUAAUAACUAAUAAGAAUAAUAAAGAUCGUCACCCCCAUGUGCUUGAUCUUGAGAGCCUGGAAUUUGCCAAAUUCCAGCUCAGUCCGGUUAGGAAACUAAAAUUGACUCUCUCUCUCUUUUUUUUUUUCUGUUGUUGGUUUAUGCACAGCUUAUUUCAAUCUCUUUUUUUAAAAAAUAUUUAUUUACAUUUCAGCUGUUCUCCCCCAUCCCCUGUCCCUCCUCCCACAGUUCCUCAUCCCAUUCUUCCUCCCCCUUGCCUUGAAGAGGGUGCCCCCCCCCAAUUGACCUUCUUAGGGAGCUACUGCAGCCAUGAGUCCUGCGAGCAUUUUAAGAUGGAGUUAGGCUCACCUUUGCAGGGAUGUCAAGUCCACAACAGAUGCUCUUCAGCGGAGCCCUGUUUCGCAAGGUUCCCAAUCUUUUUUUUUUUUUUUUUUAAAGGUAGCUCACAGCCUUAUUACAUUUCUUUCAAAUUGCUUCAGCAGAAAAUGCAAUUGAGAACUUAUCUUGGGGUAGAAAUACUGUCUUUGCCUCUUCCUGUAAGUGGCCAGAAGUGAUCUGUCAAGAUGGUUCGCUACUCUCUUGACCCAGAAAACCCCACAAAAUCAUACAAACCAAGAGGUUCGAAUCUUCAUGCUCACUUUAAGAACACCCAGGGAACUGCCCGGGCCAUCAAGGGUCUACAUAUCCUCAAAGCUACUUAGUAUCUGAAGGAUGUCACUAAAGAAGCAAUGUGUGCCAUUCCGGAGGUGUGAUGGUGGAGUCCGUAAGUGUGCCCAGACCAAACAGUGGGCUGGACACAGGGACGGUGGCCAAAGAAGAGUGCUGAAUUUUUGCUGCACACGCUUAAAAAUGCAGAGAGUAAUGCUGAACUCAAGGGUUUAGACGUAGACUCUCUCGUCAUUGAACACAUCCAGGUGAGCAAGGCACCUGAGAUGCGCCCACGAACCUCCAGAAUCUCAUGGCUGGAUUAACCCAUACAUGAGCUCCCCCUGCCACAGUGAGAUGACCCUCACUGAGAAUGAACAGAUGGUUCCAAAGCCAGAAGAGGAGGUCGCACAGAAGGAAAGAUAUCCCAGAAGAAAUUGAAGAAACAAAAACUCAUGGCAUGGGAAUAAAUUCAACAUAAAAUAAAUGCAGAUAAAGUUUAAAAAAAAAGAAAGAAAGAAAGAAAGAGAGAGAGAAAAGAGAAAAGAGAAAAGAGAAAAGAGAAAAGAGAAAAGAGAAAAGAGAAAAGAGAAAAGAGAAAAGAGAAAAGAGAAAAGAGAAAAGAGAAAAGAGAAAAGAGAAAAGAGAAAAGAGAAAAGAGAUACUGUCUUCCUGCUUUCAAGGGAACUGCCCGUGAUAUCAGGAGCUUAGGCUGGCAGGACAAAGAGAGGAAAGCUGGUCACUUCCUAUUUCACAGGAGCCACGGAUUCGCCCUUCUUCCCCCGUUCCAAGCUUUUGACUUCACUGAGUCAAAACUGAGCGCUUUCAAGCAAAGGAAAGCAGAGCCUGCCAUUUCCUUCAGAGUCAGAGUCCAGCUCAGGAAGGACAAGGGGAGGCGGGAGGGGACUCGUGUUCAGAUGACUAAGCACGGAUCUGACCUGGAAAGGACCCGUGUCCUUUCUGCAGAAGGGAGGGAGGCCAAUUAGGGGCAUGUAUGAACAAAUGACAUUACCUCACUAAGAGAAAGGGGAAAUCUCCCUCUGUGCUAACAAUGAACUCCAGAGAAAACGUGUUAACUAAUCUACGAAGAAUUUGCCAACCCGGUGAGCUGCCUCCCUGCCCUGAGCUCCCAAGCUUCUGUCUUUAGAACUUGACCUCUGACCCAGUGCCGCUGAACCCUGAGGAAGUCAGGUGCCAUGGAGAUCAGAGGUGUCAGGGUCAGACCUCCCUGGAAUUGGAGUCCCAGGUGACUGAGCUAUGAGUCAUGAGUACUGAGAAUAAUCCUCCCCGACAUGGCGAGGGGCCCUGGAAUCUCGUCUCACCCUCUCUGAAAGGAUGAGACUGGUAGGUUCUGCUAGGUUCUGGAUAAGGAAGGAGUCAAAAGGCCGAGAUGCAAUGUUACAGUACUCUGAGCAAGUGGCAGAUAGCUGUUAGCUGGACGGACAUUCGCUGCAGCAGAGUGGCCAAGGGACAAGGUGGUCCUGUGACAGGAGUCUGGCUAGACACUGGCAGCUGGAUGGCUUAAAGGAGUUUAAGUGGCAUCAAAAUUUAUUACUAGCAUUCUUGAUCAUAGAGAAAUAUUCAAAUUGUGUCAAAAGACAGAGCCACAGCUGGCUGGUACAGACAUUGGCUACUUCAGAACCCAAAGAUGUACCAGGUCAAAAAGAAAAGAAACACAAGGCUUCAUUUUCAGUCUGCACGGUCAAGGUGAGGUCUGCCGAGAGUCUCUCAGAGAUUCAGCAGCCAUGUAACCCAGCUGAGACACUAGGUGGGUAACAGUGUGGCCAUCUGCCAGGGGACCCUUCUUUAUGGAUUAUUAUGGAGGGGGACCCCCCCCCGAACAUUUGGCUCUCAGUGGGGUCUGAAGCAGAGGACGAGAAGGUUGUGCGUUGCUGUUUCUUUCCUCAGAAUGAGAAGCGAGGCUUGGGAUGGUGAGUCCUGUCCCUUACAUGAAGCAAGUGUCACUGUGAGGCCACGGGCAGCACCCAUGUCUGGUAGCAUCGAUGCCAGUUUCUAAUCAACAUAGUUUCUAAAAGUUCUGCUGAGAUCACAUGCCUUGACUCACUCUCCCGUGUAGUUCUGAGCAUGAAUCGUCUACACACAAAUGGGCAGAGGCAGGUUCCCCAGAUACAACUCGAGGCUUUAAGAACAAACGUCAUUCAAGGCCAAAACAAUCCAAGGAAAAACUUAAAAAUUAUAAUCAAAGGAAGGGGGAAUAGAUGCAAAUCUGGAUUUUACAAAAUUUGAUCAAUUGAAAUAGCAGGACCACAAAGUGGCUAGCUACAUCUGGCUUUGAGAAGUGGCCUUUUGGGGCCCCCUCUGGUGAAGUAGCUUGGGAGGCCAAAGUUUCUGGGAGAAUCUCAAGGUGCGGGGCUCAGCCUCACAGCUUUUCCUGGAUGCCCAAGUCUUCCUCCAAGUGGAAACAGGGACAUCUAGCUAGCUUUACUUCUGAGGAUGAAGCCAGGCAGAACAAGUGGCUUGCUCUCAUCCCAGAUGUGGGGUGCUGGCUCGGGGAAAGGCUGCCUUGCAUCAGGCAGGACCUGUCCAGGGCCAGCUCCCCUCGCUCCUACUGCUCCUUUCAAGGCUGUGGUGGCUGGCCUGGGGUGCGUAGGUGGGAGGGGCAGUGAGUGGGAGGAGCGUGGGACAGGAAGUCCAGCGCAGGGAACAGUACUAUGCUUCCGUUCCCUUACAGGGCGCAAGAAGAAUUUCCUCUUAACUGAGCCAGCAUCCUGGAGGCCAAGGUCAAGGGACAUUUGGUAUGCAACACCCGUGAAAGGGUGGGUCAACCCUGGGCUGAGAACCAUUGCCCUAGUGUCUUAACCUAAAGCCAACUCAGA